CUGGUGAUGGCGUUGCUGCUCACCAGUUUUGGAUCCCUCUAUGGCCGCUUUGUUGGCGAUUGUGCAGGAGGAUUCGGCGACACGGUGCUACGGAGGUUUGUUGUGUCGAGUUUCUCUGCUGUUGGUUUUGUUGGAGGGGCAGGUUCUGGUGGUGACCGUUGUUUGUGUGAGCUUGACGACGGUGUCAUAUGCGAGAUUUUGUUAUUGGUGAUGUUUUCUUUGAUGCUUUCGUUUGCACGGGUGUUCGAAUUCUCUAUGGGCUUAUUAGUGUCGUCGGUGCUUGCGACAUCAAUGGCAUCAUCGACCCUGCAUCCCUUGACAGACUGAAUGGAGUGCGGAAUACUGAAGGUGGCUUUACUGGUGGUGAAGGUGACUUGGCCAUUGGUGUUUUGUCCCUCCAAGGGAGCUCUGGUGGUGCCAGGAUUUCCCUUGUGAGGUUUUU
rnacentral:lncRNA from 1 species